AGUCUAGGUCAGAAAACGAUCAUGGCCAAAUCACCGCCAAUUCUCCGUCGAAGCCUUUCUGCAGACAACCUUCACGACUCACUGACAUCAUCCUGUGUCAGUGAAUCCAAAGGAGAAAUGUGCCGGGGUAUGUCGUCUUCUGAUGUCAACUCGUUCACAGUCAUCGGAUCUAACAACACCAUCAUAUGCACGGGAUCUCAGUCAACAGUCAACAACAUCACUGAUAUAAACAGAGAACCCCGUGAAAGCCCUCAAGAUGACAACGAUGACAAUCUGAGGACACUCAUUCAGAAGAUGCUACAGUUGGCGGCACGGAUCCUACGUCUGAUGGCAGUGAAGAAAAAGAAGAUGGGCA